GCAGGAUGGACGCGUUGGCUGUCAUGAUGUAGGACCUCCUGACCUAGAACCAUGCCCGGCGCAGGGAGAACAACGAGCUUACGGACCGGGUGCGGGGGCUGCUGUGCGAGAAAGCCUACCUGCUGGCCCGGGAGCGUUCGCCGGCCCACCUGGUGGCUUUCCCUGGACGUUUAACGGCGACUCCGCCCGGCCUCCCGACUUUUUGAUGCAGGCGUUCUCUUACAUGACUUUCUUCGAGGCUAGAUUCUCGAAAGACAUCCUGAAGGUGGCUUUCUUAAUUAGCUGCCUCACCGGCUGGCGGAGCAGUUCGUAGUCGCCUACAUCGAGAGGGAGAGCCCCGUCCUGGCUCAGUACUGGGGCUUCGUGGACGCGCUGUAGCGGGUCUUCGCCGUCGUGGGUAGGAAACAGUCGGGCCGGAUCCCCGGUGUCUGGGGAGCGGCUGCCGGCCGGGCCCGCGCGAGCCGCUUCACUCCUACAAGCCCGGCUCACUAGUUCCAAGCUGCUGGACUUUGACCCUCGCUGGGAAGCUUGAUCGCCGCCUGUUCUCGCCAAUCUCUAUGCCUUUGCACUGCCCAGCAACCCGGUCACUGCCCAGGACCUGUUAAAAGUUGAAUGGACCUCCCAGAAUCACGCCGCUGCCACCGCCGUUUCUAGAGACGGCUUUUGGCCACCUUUGAGAAUCAGGGUCAAACUUGGAAGGGCCUGCAUUUGUCACACUUCCUCGGACACUAAUUUGGAUAGUUCAGGCCCAGAGACGGCUUCCCGGGUUAGUGUGCCUGACAACACUGAAGAAAAAUUGUGACAUUUUCCUUCCCCAGAAUUACUUCGUUUUAUACAUUUCACUUCUCUUCUGAAAUCACAGCAAUGCCAGUUUGCGCCUUUUGGUCUGAGGAACGCAGGCCCUGGCCACUACCAGGAAAAAAACCUUCUGGAUUUCAGCUUUGGCAAGCUUCCUCUGUUUCUGAGACACCUCCAUCACCUGGGUUACAAUCCCAUCCAUGAUUUUCCCCAUCUCCAGGCAUUUUUCAUGGAAAGCUCCUCAUGCUUUUUAAUUCCAGUUUAUCCAUUUGUGUGGCUUUAACCUCCACAUCCAGGUCUUUCUGGCUAAACUGCAGUAUAUCCACAAUGGGGCCAAUGGACACAUAAGGGAGGCCCUAUCACAGGAACACGAACACCCGGAGUCGCUAGAAAUCAGAUUCCACCGGCUUUGCUUCAGGCCGACUUCCUAAGGAAGGCAUGGUAGCAUCACAGAUGCUGUUUGUCUCAGUUUCCUGAGAAGCCAGUUUCUUAGAGCUGUCAUUCAAGAGUGGGUCAAAUUUGAGAUAUAAAAACCUUUCUCAAGGUAGACUCUUUGGCCCCUAUGCCUAGUAUGUCAGCUGGGCCUCUGAAGCUCUCCUCUUUGAGGUCCUGGCAGGCUCUGGCCCCUGUUGAGAAGGGGAAGCAGUCAUGUGAACUCAUGUGCUGGAAGAAUCCACUCUACCCCUUCCCUGGCUUCUCUGCUGCAAUUUUUGUCUUUAAACGUAUUUUCAGGUGAUUCCAGUUUGCAUACAUAAUUGAGAAAUAUAAGAUUUGGUCCCCAGUAGAGAGCCAGGUGAACUUAAGAAGGAGUCCAUCUAAGAAAAUUGCACAAUUAUCUAGUUUCACUUGGGUUUAGCUUUUAUGGCUUACUUGAUUUAGUAAUCAAAUGAUUUUCAAAUGAUUUUGAUCAGGUGACUCUUCGUAAACUAGAGAAUGAACUUGAGAGCCGAAUUAGCACAGUUUAAAAAUAAUCAUUUAGUUUUUGUUCUCUAUUGUGUAAAUUAUUGAGGUUUGACUGUCUUGGCUAAACUAAGGCUCAUCUAAUAUCUUUAUUUUUGAUAUCCUAAUUUCUUGCCAAUUAAUUGAAGGUAACAUACUAGCAGACCAGAUAACUACUUAUGCAAACCUCAGAUAACCACUAAUUUAAACAAAAUUAAAUCCUUUGCCUUCCCCAGAUCCUUUGCACAUGGCCUGCUAUCAACAAUCCUCUACAAUGAUUCUCAGCAUCACCUAGGGAGCUUAUGUAAAAUCUCAAAUUCCUGGGCCCUAUCCCCAGAGUUUCUUAUCAAGUAAGUCUGCAUUGGGAUCUGAGGAUUUGCAUCUCUAACAAAAAUUCCUAGGCGAUGCUCACACUGUUGGUGUAAGGUUUCCUUGAUGGAGAACUAUCAAAGCAGUCAAAGCUAUCAAAAUAAAAAAGAAUUCUGAUUGGGUGCAGUGGCUCACACCUGUCAUUCCAGCACUUUGAGAGGCCAAGGUGGGCAGAUCACAUGAGGCCAGGAGUUCAAGACCAGCCUGGCCAACAUGGCAGAAACCCCAUCUCUACUAAAAAUACCAAAAUUAGCCGGGCAUGGUGGAACACACCUGCAAUCCCAGCUACUCGGGAGGCUGAGGCAAGAGAAUCGCUUGAACCUGGGAGGCAGAAGUUGCAGUGAAACAAGUUGGUGCCAAUGCAUUCCAGCCUGGAUGAUGGAGCGAGACUCUGUCUCAAGAAAAAAAAAACAAAAACAAAAACAGAACUCUGCCUCAUAGCGUCUUUUAAGUUAUACACUGGACCUAUCCUUUCCUCACUGACAGACAUUUUAAAAAUUUUUUGGUAAGGCCUAGUUCAUAUAAAAUGUAAUCCAAGCCAAAAGUUAACAAGAAUAAGGGGAGGAAAGGGGACUCCAAUAGCAGAGAAAGGUAUUUACCUGGGAUAUACACUGCAAGAAAAUCAAAGCUAUAAGAAACGUCCAUGAAUAGUAGCCAUAAGGCAUCAGAGUGAUAAAAUUCCUGUCCCUAGGAGGGAAUAUUGGAGUUUGCCAGAGAAACAGAAUGAGAGAGACAGAGAGGUUUAUUGUAGGAAUUGGCUCAUAUGAUUACGGAGGCUGAGAAGACCCACGAUCUGCCAUCUGCAAGCUGGAGAAUCAGGAAAGCUGGAGGUGUAAUUCAGUCAAGUCCAAUGGCCAGAGAAGCAAGUGUACUGAUAUCCAAGAGCAGGAGAAAAUAGAUGUCCCAGAACAAGCAGAGAGGCUGAUUUUGUCCUUCCUCUGCCUUUUUGUUUCAUAUGGGGCACUGAAUGGACUGAUGCCCAUCCACAUUAGUGAGGGUGGAUCUUCUUUACUCAGUCUACCAGUAGAAAUGUCAAUGACUUCCAGAAACACCCUCACCAACACACGUGGAAAUAAUGUUUUACCAGGUAUCUGGGCAUCCCUUGGUUCACUCAAGUUGACACAAAAUUAACCAUCACAGAAGGAGACUGGCCUUACUCUGAAAUUAGGAAACUAAAGAAGUGACCAGAAUGGAGACUAGGUAGAGACAACUAGUUCUCUACCAAACAUGUACAGUUAUUCGUUGGUAUCUGAAGGGGAUUGGUUCCAGGAACUCUCAGGGAUACCAAAAUCUGCAGGUGCUCAAGUCAUUUAUAUAAAAUAUUACAGUAUUUGCAUAUAACCUUUGCACAUCUUCCAUAUACUUUAAAUCAUCUCUACAUUACUUAUAAUAAUGAAUGUGUAAAUGCUAUGAAAAUAGUUACUACACUAUUGUUUAUUUGUAUUUUUAUUGAAUUGUUUUGGGGUGGGGGGCAGCUGUAUCUUUCUUAGUAAUAGAACCCCUGGUUUUAGCUGGGCACAUGACUGCCCUCAAUAAAGAUUAAAGUACCCCAGCCUUCCUUGAGAUUGUGGCCAUGUGACUGAACUUUAGACAGUGAGAUAUAAGCAGAUAUCUUCUGUGGCAGUGUUAGGAAACUAUUAAAGACAGUAAGAACAUUGCCCUUUGCCUUCUUUUUCCUUUCUUCAUUUUUCUGCCUGGAAUGCAAAUGUGAUGGCUAACACCCUAGCAGCCAUUUUAGAUUAUGAAGAUGAGAGUCACUCCCCAGGAAGGGUGGACCUGAAAGCUGGAUUCUAGAUGUGGAAUGACAAUACCAGCCCUGGACUACCUACCUGUAGGCUGUGUGUGUGUGUGUGUGAUUGACAGAGAGAGAGAGAGAUAGAUACCACAAGUAACACAAAGCAUCAUACCUGGGACUGGGAAGGUUAAUGUUUAAACAUUUUAAAUGUGGCAUUGGUUUGUUGAAGACAGUCAAGCAGUAGGUGCUGCAGGCUUUGUUGAGGCUAGAAAGCUGUUGGUCUUUAUUAGGUGAUGGCAAAACAAUGGAUCACAUUUUCAUGUGCUGUGUCUUGGGAGGCAAAUGAUGAGAAUGUAGGAUUGGGGAAAAUGGUAAGGAAAAUCCAAAAUGUUCAUGUUUUCUAACCCCUUCUUGCCAAUCUUAAAAGAAGGACAAACAGGCUAGAUUAAGCAAGUCUACAGUUACAAUUGGAAGGAAACACAGCCGUACUAAGGAAGUACUCUGUCUGUGGCCUGCAGUCUAGUUUGACUAGGUCCUGUAUUUGAGCUUUGAAAGAGUAAAGAAUACAAGUGCUCGUAUACCCCUGAAGUAGUUACCAGCAGUGACUGCAAGGAGGUAAUCUUAUGGGAUGAAACUAUAACUCUGUAUUAACCAUCAUAUAUAGCAUAUAUGUGUAUAUGUAUGUGUGUGUGUGUAUAUGUGUAUAUAAAUAUAUGUGUGUGUAUAUACACACAUGUACACACCCUACAACCCAGUGAUUUCAAAAAAUUAAACAUUUGUUUAGCUCAUGAAUCUGUGGGUUGGGUGAACAUUUCUAUUGGUCUUGGCUGGGCUCACCUGUACCCAGUCAGCUGCAGGGUCUAGCUCUUCUUAUCUUGGCUGGGAUCUCACACAUGUCUAGGAUCAGCUGCUUUACUAGUCUAGGAUUGUCUUGGCUGAGACAGGUGGACUACUCAGUUCUCCUCCACUGCCUUAUCCUUCAGCUGGCCAGCCCAGAAAUGUUGCCAUGUUUACAGCAUAAGAGCAAGCAAGAAAGAAUAAUAUGCAACCACUUUUCCAAGCCUAAGGUGAAAGGGCGGGCAGAACCUGUGGUGUUAGGAGGCAACUCAUACCAGCCCAUGGGUCUACCGUUUAAUUUUCAGAAAUUUGGCAAGCUGAUUGUUAACACAGCUGUUGUUUAAUUUAUGUACUUGUAAUUAAAUAAUUUACAUUAAAACAAAGAUAAUAGGUACUC
rnacentral:lncRNA from 1 species